rnacentral:rRNA from 1 species
UACGAAGGGGGCUAGCGUUGCUCGGAAUCACUGGGCGUAAAGGGUGCGUAGGCGGGUCUUUAAGUCGGGGGUGAAAUCCUGGAGCUCAACUCCAGAACUGCCUUCGAUACUGGCGAUCUCGAGUCCGGAAGAGGUGAGUGGAACUCCUAGUGUAGAGGUGGAAUUCGUAGAUAUUAGGAAGAACACCAGUGGCGAAGGCGGCUCACUGGUCCGGUACUGACGCUGAGGUGCGAAAGCGUGGGGAGCAAACAGG